rnacentral:rRNA from 1 species
AUUGAACGCUGGCGGCAGGCCUAACACAUGCAAGUCGAACGAGUGGCGGACGGGUGAGUAAUGUCUGGGAAACUGCCUGAUGGAGGGGGAUAACUACUGGAAACGGUAGCUAAUACCGCAUACCAUCAGAUGUGCCCAGAUGGGAUUAGCUGGUGGGUGGGGUAAAGGCUCACCAAGGCGACGAUCCCUAGCUGGGCUGAGAGGAUGACCAGCCAGACUGGAACGGAGACACGGGCCAGACUCCGACGGGAGGCAGCAGUGGGGAAUAUGGAACCAUGGGCGCAAGCCGGAGGCAGCCAUGCCGCGUGUAUGAAGAAGGCCUUCGGGUUGUAAAGUACUUUCAGCGGGGAGGCGUUACCCGCAGAAGAAGCACCGGCUAACUCCGUGCCAGCAGCCGCGGUAAUAC